AUGUGAAUACUCUUGCUGUUCUGAUUUUGUAAAAAUCAGGACAGUCUAAACAUUUGCUAUAAGACCAUGCAUGUGCCCCCAAAUCUACCUCUUUACCGACUUAAGUCUGAUCUUAGAAAUGAUAGUGAUAAAU
ensembl:snoRNA SNORA72 Small nucleolar RNA SNORA72